AGUGAACGCUGGCGGUAGGCCUAACACAUGCAAGUCGAACGGCAGCACAGUAAGAGCUUGCUCUUACGGGUGGCGAGUGGCGGACGGGUGAGGAAUACAUCGGAAUCUACUUUUUCGUGGGUGAUAACGUAGGGAAACUUACGCUAAUACCGCAUACGACCUACGGGUGAAAGCAGGGGAUCUUCGGACCUUUCGCGAUUGAAUGAGCCGAUGUCGGAUUAGCUAGUUGGCGGGGUAAAGGCCCACCAAGGCGACGAUCCGUAGCUGGUCUGAGAGGAUGAUCAGCCACACUGGAACUGAGACACGGUCCAGACUCCUACGGGAGGCAGCAGUGGGGAAUAUUGGACAAUGGGCGAAAGCCUGAUACAGCCAUACCGCGUGGGUGAAGAAGGCCUUCGGGUUGUAAAGCCAUUUUGUUGGGAAAGAAAAGAAGCAGGUUAAUACCCAGAUGUUCUGACGGUACCCAAAGAAUAAGCACCGGCUAACUUCGUG
rnacentral:rRNA from 1 species